UACAGAGGCCUCGAGCGUUAGGCGGAAUCACUGGGCUUAAAGCGUGUGUAGGCGGAGUUCUAAGUACCUUGUGAAAUCCCACGGCUCAACCGUGGAACUGCUGGGUAUACUGGUUCUCUUGAGGUACCUAGGGGCGAGCGGAACAAGUGGUGGAGCGGUGAAAUGCGUAGAUAUCACUUGGAACGCCAACGGUGAAAACAGCUCGCUGGGGGUUUGCUGACGCUGAGACACGAAAGCCAGGGGAGCAAACGGG
rnacentral:rRNA from 1 species